AUUGAACGCUGGCGGCAUGCUUUACACAUGCAAGUCGAACGGCAGCGCGGGCUUCGGCCUGGCGGCGAGUGGCGAACGGGUGAGUAAUGCGUCGGAACGUGCCCAGCGGUGGGGGAUAGCCCGGCGAAAGCCGGAUUAAUACCGCAUACGACCUGAGGGUGAAAGCGGGGGACAGAAAGGCCUCGCGCGAUUGGAGCGGCCGAUGUCGGAUUAGCUAGUUGGUGGGGUAAAGGCUUACCAAGGCGACGAUCCGUAGCUGGUCUGAGAGGACGACCAGCCACACUGGGACUGAGACACGGCCCAGACUCCUCCGGGAGGCAGCAGUGUGGAAUUUUGGACAAUGGGGGCAACCCUGAUCCAGCCAUGCCGCGUGCGGGAAGAAGGCCUUCGGGUUGUAAACCGCUUUUGUUCGGGAAGAAAUCCUCUGGGCUAAUACCCCGGGGGGAUGACGGUACCGGAAGAAUAAGCACCGGCUAACUACGUG
rnacentral:rRNA from 1 species